rnacentral:rRNA from 1 species
GACGAACGCUGGCGGCGUGCUUAACACAUGCAAGUCGAGCGGUAAGGCCCUUUCGGGGGUACACGAGCGGCGAACGGGUGAGUAACACGUGGGUGACCUGCCCUUAGCUCUGGGAUAAGCCUGGGAAACUGGGUCUAAUACCGGAUAUGACUCCAUGACGCAUGUUGUGGGGUGGAAAGCCUUGUGCGGCUAGGGAUGGGCCUGCGGCCUAUCAGCUUGUUGGUGGGGUGAUGGCCUACCAAGGCGACGACGGGUAGCCGGCCUGAGAGGGCGACCGGCCACACUGGGACUGAGACACGGCCCAGACUCCUACGGGAGGCAGCAGUGGGGAAUCUUGCGCAAUGGGCGAAAGCCUGACGCAGCGACGCCGCGUGGGGAUGACGGCCUCGG